rnacentral:rRNA from 1 species
GGCGUGCUAUACCUGCAAGUCGAGCGGACAGAAGGGAGCUUGCUCCCGGAUGUAGCGGCGGACGGGUGAGUAACACGUGGGUAACUGCCUGUAAGACUGGGAUAACUCCGGGAAACGGGAGCUAAUACGGGAUAGUUCCCUGAACCGCAUGGUUCAAGGAUGAAAGACGGUUUCGGCUGUCACUUACAGAUGGACCGCGGCGCAUAGCUAGUUGGUGAGGUAACGGCUCACCAAGGCGACGAUGCGUAGCCGACCUGAGAGGGUGAUCGGCCACACUGGGACUGAGACACGGCCCAGACUCCUACGGGAGGCAGCAGUAGGGAAUCUUCCGCAAUGGACGAAAGUCUGACGGAGCAACGCCGCGUGAGUGAUGAAGGUUUCGGAUCGUAAAGCUCUGUUGUUAGGGAAGAACAAGUGCAAGAGUAACUGCUUGCACCUUGACGGUACCUAACCAGAAAGCCACGGCUAACUACGUGCCAGCAGCCGCGGUAAUACGUAGGUGGCAGCGUUGUCCGGAAUUAUUGGGCGUAAAGGGCUCGCAGGCGGUUUCUUAAGUCUGAUGUGAAAGCCCCCGGCUCAACCGGGGAGGGUCAUUGGAAACUGGGAAACUUGAGUGCAGAAGAGGAGAGUGGAAUUCCACGUGUAGCGGUGAAAUGCGUAGAGAUGUGGAGGAACACCAGUGGCGAAGGCGACUCUCUGGUCUGUAACUGACGCUGAGGAGCGAAAGCGUGGGGAGCGAACAGGAUUAGAUACCCUGGUAGUCCACGCCGUAAACGAUGAGUGCUAAGUGUUAGGGGGUUUCCGCCCCUUAGUGCUGCAGCUAACGCAUUAAGCACUCCGCCUGGGGAGUACGGUCGCAAGACUGAAACUCAAAGGAAUUGACGGGGGCCCGCACAAGCGGUGGAGCAUGUGGUUUAAUUCGAAGCAACGCGAAGAACCUUACCAGGUCUUGACAUCCUCUGACAACCCUAGAGAUAGGGCUUUCCCUUCGGGGACAGAGUGA